AUACGUAGGGGGCGAGCGUUGUCCGGAAUUACUGGGCGUAAAGGGCGUGUAGGCGGCCUGGCAAGUCGGCUGUGAAAUCCCUCGGCUCAACCGGGGAAUGGCAGUCGAAACUGUUGGGCUUGAGUGCAGGAGAGGAGGGUGGAAUUCCUGGUGUAGCGGUGAAAUGCGUAGAUAUCAGGAGGAACACCGGUGGCGAAGGCGACCUUCUGGCCUGUUACUGACGCUGAGGCGCGAAAGCCAGGGGAGCAAACAGGAUUAGAUACCCUGGUAGUCCUGGCUGUAAACGCUGGGUACUAGGUGUAGGGGGUUUAGAUACCUUCUGUGCCGUAGUUAACGCAUUAAGUACCCCGCCUGGGGAGUACGGUCGCAAGGCUGAA
rnacentral:rRNA from 1 species